rnacentral:rRNA from 1 species
GAUGAACGCUGGCGGCGUGCCUAAUACAUGCAAGUCGAGCGAACAGACGAGGAGCUUGCUCCUCUGACGUUAGCGGCGGACGGGUGAGUAACACGUGGAUAACCUACCUAUAAGACUGGGAUAACUUCGGGAAACCGGAGCUAAUACCGGAUAAUAUAUUGAACCGCAUGGUUCAAUAGUGACAGACGGUUUUGCUGUCACUUAUAGAUGGAUCCGCGCCGCAUUAGCUAGUUGGUAAGGUAACGGCUUACCAAGGCAACGAUGCGUAGCCGACCUGAGAUGGUGAGUGGUCACACUAGAACUGAGACACGGUCCAGACUCCUACGGGAGGCAGCAGUAGGGAAUCUUCCGCAAUGGGCGAAAGCUUGACGGAGCAACGCCGCGUCAGUGAUGAAGGUCUUCUGAUCGUAAAACUCUGUUAUUAGGGAAGAACAAAUGUGUAAGUAACUAUGCACGUCUUGACGGUACCUAAUCAGAAAGCCACGGCUAACUACGUG